GACGAACGCUGGCGGCGUGCCUAACACAUGCAAGUUGAGCGACGAACCAGGGCUUGCCCUGGGGCAAAGCAGCGAACGGGUGAGUAACACGUGGGUAACCUACCCCGAUAACCGGGACAACCCGAGGAAACUCGGGCUAAUACCGGAUGUGCUCACUGGACUUCGGUUCAGUGCGUAAAGGAAGCUUCGGCCUCCGUAUCGGGAGGGGCCCGCGGCCCAUUAGUUUGUUGGUGAGGUAACGGCUCACCAAGACCGCGAUGGGUAGCUGGUCUGAGAGGACGAUCAGCCACACUGGGACUGAGACACGGCCCAGACUCCUACGGGAGGCAGCAGUGGGGAAUCUUGCGCAAUGCGCGAAAGCGUGACGCAGCAACGCCGCGUGGGGGAAGAAGGCCUUCGGGUUGUAAACCCCUUUCAGGAGGGACGAAGGCGCGGCGGUGAAUAGCCGUCCGGACUGACGGUACCUCCACAAGAAGCCCCGGCUAACUACGUG
rnacentral:rRNA from 1 species